AUCAACGCUGCCCAACGGUACCCAGCAGGACCUGCGGACCUCUGAGGCGAGAGGACCGCAGCAGGAGAGUUCCGGAAGGCUGAUUCCCACAGAUCCUGGUAAGGGACCACUGCGGCUCUGCCCUGCGGCACGCCCGGCCAGGCUGCACCAGGACUCUACACUCUAGGAAAAAGCUUGGAAACGAAAGGAUGCGGGAGAACAAAGAGCCUACGGAGGACGUGGCUGUUAUCUCAUUGUCUGUGACUGGGGGAGCUGCGGAGAAAGGCCUCUCUCUCCGUGUUCACAGCGGACCUUGAUUUAAAUGUCCAUACAAUUAAGGCACGCGGUGAAUGCCAAGAAUGGGGCUGUCUGAGCACCUUGGGUCCACGAGGGCCCGCCACGGAAGGAUCGACUCAGCACAACGCCUUGUGCAGAUUUCAGUGCUGCAGCUGCAGGCGCCCACAGUAGGGGUAGCGGACUUCUAAGUGCCUCGCAAUGUAGCCCUUAGGGUGGGGAGGUGUGCGGCUACCAACAGAGAGGGGUUUGUGCAGAUGCGAAUAGAAUCUAGGAAGCAAACAACUCGUUCUGUGAUAGGAACACGUAUCUAUGCAAGCAGGGUGGUGGUGAAAGUAGAAAAUAGCCUGGCAGGAGGGUGGAGAGUGAAACGUGCAUCUUAGCAUCUGGGACCCUGCCCAUUGUAGAAGGCCAGCACCUUCAUCCCUAUCCGUUUUAGUUCCGAAUUUCAAUUUACCCUUAAACAAAAAAUAAUCGAGUACCCAUGCGACUGGCGGACUGCCCCAGAGCCUGGACUGCAGCUACCUUGUGUACUGCUUGGGGGUUGCUGGGGGUAGUCUUUAGGGGAAGCUGUUUGUCACCCUUCGGUGGAGAGCUGCGGGCAUUUGACAGGCUUAAGCAGGACUCUGGGGUGAAGGCAAUCAGCAAAUUUGUUCGUGGGCAGCACACAGACUCCAUCAAAACUGACAGCUAGCCCACUGCUCAAAGCAGGGCCUCCCAGACUCCUUGGGGCUGUGACUGAAGUUUCAGGCAGAGAUCCAGAAGCUACAGGGAAAAAAAGGCGCAGUACCCCGCAUAGCCUCCCCCCACCAACCCAGAGUGAGGGCUGCUCCCCGUUGCUCUUAAAACCCCCGGACAG
rnacentral:lncRNA from 1 species